AGACUCGAGGAAUAUCAUACACAACUUGUCUUCCAGCAAGUAAAACAAACAGCUCGUUAAUAUGAAGUGUGUGAUGAUGAUGGUGGUGAUGGCUCUGAGCCUCCUGUUGGUGGGAACACACGCAGCCCCUGCGGAUAGUCCCAUAGAGUUGUCCUCGUCCAUGUCGGAGGCUCGGGUGGAGCGAGCAGCCCACUUUCCUUGCUGCCGCUGCCCAGAAACUACCACCAAAAUAAAGAUCGAGAUCACGAUUAUUCAAAGACAUGGCGGUCAACAGUCACCUCCUCGUUGCUGCCCAUGCCCGCCCUCUCACCAUGGUUGAAGUAUUUCCUCCCCCAGGUGACUGACCACGAAGAGCAUCUUUCUAGACUUCUCCAGAACUCAACUUCUCUUCAUAAUUUCCCGGAACUACAGAUGAUUAUCUUUAGGAAGCAUCACAAAAUUUUCUAUUGUGUUUUAUUUGUUCGAGUAUCAAAUAUAGUUAAACUGUAAACUGCAUAUAAAGAAUAAAUUUUGUUGCAUAUA